rnacentral:rRNA from 1 species
GACGAACGCUGGCGGCGUGCUUAACACAUGCAAGUCGAACGGAAAGGCCCUGCUUUUGUGGGGUGCUCGAGUGGCGAACGGGUGAGUAACACGUGAGUAACCUGCCCUUGACUUUGGGAUAACUUCAGGAAACUGGGGCUAAUACCGGAUAGGAGCUCCUGCUGCAUGGUGGGGGUUGGAAAGUUUCGGCGGUUGGGGAUGGACUCGCGGCUUAUCAGCUUGUUGGUGGGGUAGUGGCUUACCAAGGCUUUGACGGGUAGCCGGCCUGAGAGGGUGACCGGAUGUAGUAGAACUGUCGAGAGGCGAGGACGCAUGCAGGAGGAAGCGGUGGGAAAUACUGAACAAGGAGCGGACGACUGAGGCGGAACCGCGGGGGGCGGGAUGAGGUCUGUCGUGUUCAAAGCCGUCUUCGUGUGAGACGAGGGGGAGGGGAGGAAGAGGGGAAAAGAGGCCCCGCCUAACUAGGUGCCGCCACCGGGGGCAGAGAUGGAAUAGCAAGCGUAGAACC